GGAUGUGAGGGCGAUCUGGCUGCGACAUCUGUCACCCCAUUGAUUGCCAGGGUUGAUUCGGCUGAUCUGGCUGGCUAGGCGGGUGUCCCCUUUCUCCCUCAACGCUCCAUGUGCAUCCCUCCGGAAGUUGCCUGCUCGGUGGAAGAGGACAACCAACCCUGAUAGAGGAGGACCAUUCCUCGGUCAAGGGUAUACAAGUAGCUGUGAUCCCCUGCUAGAACCUGUGAGCUCAAGGCCACCUUGAACUGCACAGGGAGACCCUGUCUCCAAAAGGAAAAAAAAAAAAAAAAAAAAAAGAAUGGCCCAGCUUCUAGGCAAUGAGAUCACGGGUACUGAAACAGUGUUUU
rnacentral:snRNA from 1 species